rnacentral:rRNA from 1 species
GACGAACGCUGGCGGUGUGCUUAACACAUGCAAGUCGAACGGUAAGGCCCUUUCGGGGUUACACGGUUGGCGAACGGGUGAGUAACACGUGAGUCACCUGCUCUCACUUCCGGGAUCACAUUCGUAACCGGUUGCUAAUAUUGCAUAUGAGCUUUCAUCGCGUUCUUUGGGUUGGAAAGAUUUUUUUUGGUGUUGUAUGGGCUCGCGGUCUAUCAGCUUGCUGUCGAGGUGGUGGCGCACCAAGGCUUCGACGGGUAGCUGGCCUGUAAGGGCGACCGGCAAAAUUGGGACACACAUACGGACCAAACUCCUACGGGAGGCAGCAGAAGGGACUCUUGCACAAUGGACGGAAGCCUGAUGAAGCAGCGCCGCGUGCGGGAUGAGAGCCUUCGGGUUGUAAACCGCUUUCAAGUGUGACGAAGGUGUUUUGUGACGGUAGCAGUAGAAGAAGCACCGGCUAACUACGUG